rnacentral:misc_RNA from 1 species
UCAAGGAGACCUCCAACUUCAUCAAGAAGGUCGGCUUCAACCCCAAGCACGUUCCCUUCGUGCCCAUCUCCGGUUUCAACGGUGACAACAUGAUCGACGUCUCCACCAACUGCCCCUGGUACAAGGGUUGGGAGAAGGAGACCAAGGCCAAGGCCACCGGCAAGACCCUCCUCGAGGCCAUUGACGCCAUCGACCCCCCCACCCGUCCCACCGACAAGCCCCUCCG